UGUAGCAAACCACCACGUGUGAGUGUCCAACCACGUCAGAUCUUGGAAGCUUAGCGGGGCCGGGCCUGGUUAAUAAUUGGAUGUGAGACUGCCUUGCACGGUCAGGGGUCACUAGAC
rnacentral:rRNA from 12 species